rnacentral:snRNA from 1 species
AGCUGCGCAGUGGGCACAAAGCGAACUAUUCUUUCGCCUUUUACUAAAGAAUACCGUGUGCUCGCUGCAAAUAGCAGCAUACUCUAAUUUUUUGAGGGGAUUUCCAGCAUUUGGAGAGC